rnacentral:rRNA from 1 species
UGGGGAAUUUUGGACAAUGGGCGAAAGCCUGAUCCAGCCAUGCCGCGUGAGUGAAGAAGGCCUUCGGGUUGUAAAGCUCUUUUAGUCGGAAAGAAAGAGUUGCAAUGAAUAAUUGUGAUUUAUGACGGUACCGACAGAAAAAGCACCGGCUAACUACGUGCCAGCAGCCGCGGUAAUACGUAGGGUGCGAGCGUUAAUCGGAAUUACUGGGCGUAAAGGGUGCGCAGGCGGUCUUGCAAGUCAGAUGUGAAAGCCCCGGGCUUAACCUGGGAAUUGCGUUUGAAACUACAAGACUAGAGUGCAGCAGAGGGGAGUGGAAUUCCAUGUGUAGCAGUGAAAUGCGUAGAGAUGUGGAAGAACACCGAUGGCGAAGGCAGCUCCCUGGGUUGACACUGACGCUCAUGUACGAAAGCGUGGGGAGCAAACA